rnacentral:rRNA from 1 species
AUUGAACGCUGGCGGCAGGCCUAACACAUGCAAGUCGAGCGAGCGGCGGACGGGUGAGUAAUGUAUGGGGAUCUGCCCGAUGGAGGGGGAUAACUACUGGAAACGGUAGCUACUACCGCAUACUAUCGGAUGUGCCCAUAUGGGAUUAGCUAGUAGGUGGGGUAAAGGCUCACCUAGGCGACGAUCUCUAGCUGGUCUGAGAGGAUGAGCAGCCACACUGGAACUGAGACACGGCCCAGACGCCUACGGGAGGCAGCAGUGGGGAAUAUUGCACAAUGGGCGCAAGCCUGAUGCAGCCAUGCCGCGUGUAUGAAGAAGGCCUUAGGGUUGUAAAGCACUUUCAGCGGGGAGGCGUUACCCGCAGAAGAAGCACCGGCUAACUCCGUGCCAGCAGCCGCGGUAAUAC